UACGAAGGGGGCUAGCGUUGCUCGGAAUUACUGGGCGUAAAGCGCACGUAGGCGGCUUGUUAAGUCGGGGGUGAAAUCCUGGAGCUCAACUCCAGAACUGCCUUCGAUACUGGCGAGCUCGAGUUCGGGAGAGGUGAGUGGAACUGCGAGUGUAGAGGUGAAAUUCGUAGAUAUUCGGAGGAACACCAGUGGCGAAGGCGGCUCACUGGUCCAUUACUGACGCUGAGGUGCGAAAGCGUGGGGAGCAAACAGG
rnacentral:rRNA from 1 species